UACAGAGGUCCCAAGCGUUGUUCGGAUUCAUUGGGCGUAAAGGGUGCGUAGGUGGGCUAGUAAGUCAGUGGUGAAAUCUCCGGGCUUAACCCGGAAACUGCCAUUGAUACUAUUAGUCUUGAAUACCAUGGAGGUGAGCGGAAUAUGUCAUGUAGCGGUGAAAUGCUUAGAUAUGACAUAGAACACCAAUUGCGAAGGCAGCUCGCUACGCGGUUAUUGACACUGAGGCACGAAAGCGUGGGGAUCAAACAGG
rnacentral:rRNA from 1 species